AGCCGCCUAGGGUAAAACUGGUAACUAGGGCUAAGUCGUAACAAGGUAGCCGUACCGGAAGGUGCGGCUGGAACACCUCCUUU
rnacentral:rRNA from 1 species